rnacentral:misc_RNA from 1 species
UUUUGUGUGCUACACUGGAUUAGCCACGUAGUAGUGACAUACAUAUAUGAGUAUGAGUGUGUGUGGGAGUGUGCGUGCGUGCGCAGCGUCUCGUAAAACAGAAGAAUGCAACUGUUCCGUACGCAUGGUGGUAAAAAGAUGGUAAGAAAAGGAGUGCUGAGACGCGUGCAAUGGGUAUCCACGAAUAUCUUGUAAAUCACAUAUUAAAUAAAUCCGAAAUUAUUUUAAUAUCAUUUCAACGUGUAAUGUGAGUGUUCCUAUACAUUUAUUUCGGCAACUAAGAUCCAAAAUUCU